UGAACGCUGGCGGCAGGCCUAACACAUGCACGUCGAACGGUAACAGGAAGAAGCUUGCUUCUUUGCUGACGAGUGGCGGACGGGUGAGUAAUGUCUGGGAAACUGCCUGAUGGAGGGGGAUAACUACUGGAAACGGUAGCUAAUACCGCAUAACGUCGCAAGACCAAAGAGGGGGACCUUCGGGCCUCUUGCCAUCGGAUGUGCCCAGAUGGGAUUAGCUAGUAGGUGGGGUAACGGCUCACCUAGGCGACGAUCCCUAGCUGGUCUGAGAGGAUGACCAGCCACACUGGAACUGAGACACGGUCCAGACUCCUACGGGAGGCAGCAGUGGGGAAUAUUGCACAAUGGGCGCAAGCCUGAUGCAGCCAUGCCGCGUGUAUGAAGAAGGCCUUCGGGUUGUAAAGUACUUUCAGCGGGGAGGAAGGGAGUAAAGUUAAUACCUUUGCUCAUUGACGUUACCCGCAGAAGAAGCACCGGCUAACUCCGUG
rnacentral:rRNA from 1 species